rnacentral:lncRNA from 1 species
CCAGGCAACAAGGGCCAGUGCCUAGUCCUCAGAGCUCACUGAAAUUAUUCACACCAGCCAAUCUUAAACCUACUUGCCCUGCUUCACAGUUUCAUUCCUGCAGAAACCACAAUAAAGGGACGUGCCCUCAGUUGCCCUGUCUCCCUCUGCCUCAUGACUGACCGCGGUGCAUGACCUGAGUGGCCUUGUGUGGCCUGCUGCUUUCUCCCCAGUGAACUGUGAAUUAGGAGAAGGACUGAGGUGUUCUAUCUCUUUCCGGCACAAAUCAUCACUUCACAUAUCCCUUCUAGACAGCAGCUGUAUGAUAGCAUGAUACUUUUUUCUACUUGUUCUGAAGUGUGAACCGGAAAGAGCAGAAAGUGUUAGCCAGAGAAAAGACAUCCCUCUGUGAGGUUGUUUUGGGGUGAGAUAAACAUUUAAAUUGGUGAACUUUGAGAGGAAAAUUAGAAGACAAGUAUCCUCAUUUCCACCUGGAUCCAGUCUUUCUUCCUUAUUACUUUUAUUAACAAUAUCAGUUAAGGUUUAUAUGGAUGUCUUGCUUUGGCCUGUACAAAAAACUACUUUGUAUAUGCCUUAUUUUAUUAAUUUUGCUUCUGAAUUUCAUCAAAUUCUCUGAUCAUAACUCUAUAUUCUUGUAAGGAAUGCUCAGAAUUAUACUAUUUCACUCCAAAUUUUAUUAUUAUUGAGACGAAACUGGGUAUAGAAAGUUGUGGGACCAGUUUGUAAUUUAUUGCUUUAAAAUUUGGUCAAGCCACUCAAAUUCUCUAGCUGUACCUAUGAAAUAGCUUUAAUAUUUCAAUCCCCUGCAUUUUCUUUGAAUAAUAUGGAGUUUGAAUUGAAGUGGUCCUGAAUUUGAGUGCUGCAUAUGCUACUUUUGAGAUAUGUGAUCUUGAGCAAGUUGCUUAAUCACAUUAAACCUCAAUUCUCUCAUCUUUAAAAUAGAAAAAAUAAUAGCUACUUUACAGUGUUGAGAAAAGAAUAAGAUGAAACAGUUUAUUAAAAACAUAGAAGAGUGCUUAAGACAUAAUAAAGUCUACAUAAAUUGUGCCUAUUGUUAUUACUAAUAAAAAAAAAAGAAAUUCUACGUGUCAGGAAUUUGAACAAAUUACAGCUGGAUUUGCAUAUUUCUUCCACAAGAUGUAUGUGGUCCCAUCUGAUAAUAGGGAAUUGGUUGGUAACUGGAAUCUUCUUGGAAACCUCUUAAAUCACAGAUCUUGCACUUGUACUGGGAUAAUCUGGAGUGUGUGCUCCUCUGAGUUUGUUGACCAAAUCACCUACAGGUGAACUCUCCAUAUAUGUAUUUUCCUAGUCAAUUCCUACACUGACCUCAAGCAAACACUGAUCAGCUUUCUGUCAUAAUAGAUGCGAUUUACUUUUUUAGAAUUUAAUAAAACUCAAAUUAUACUGUAUGCAUCCUUUUGUGUCUGGAUUGCUUUUUUUUCUCUGCCUUACAUUGUUGAAUAUAUUCUAGGUAUGUUUUACUAAUUGCUUGGUUGUAUAUUAAUGCAUACUGCAUUUUGUUUAUCCAUUCAACUAUUGAUGGAAAUUGGAGUUGUUUUCAGUUUCUGGUUAUAAAUAAAACAGCUAUGAACAUUUACAU